UAUAGAGGGGAAUAGCCUUCCGAAAGGAAGAUUAAUACCGCAUAACAUUACAUUUUCGCAUGAAGAAGUAAUUAAAGGAGUAAUCCGCUAUAAGAUGGGCCCGCGGCGCAUUAGCUAGUUGGUGAGGUAACGGCUCACCAAGGCGACGAUGCGUAGCCGACCUGAGAGGGUGAUCGGCCACAUUGGGACUGAGACACGGCCCAGACUCCUACGGGAGGCAGCAGUGGGGAAUAUUGCACAAUGGGGGAAACCCUGAUGCAGCAACGCCGCGUGAGUGAUGAAGGUCUUCGGAUCGUAAAGCUCUGUCUUCAGGGACGAUAAUGACGGUACCUGAGGAGGAAGCCACGGCUAACUACGUGCCAGCAGCCGCGGUAAUACGUAGGUGGCGAGCGUUGUCCGGAUUUACUGGGCGUAAAGGGAGCGUAGGCGGAUUUUUAAGUGAGAUGUGAAAUACCCGGGCUCAACUUGGGUGCUGCAUUUCAAACUGGAAGUCUAGAGUGCAGGAGAGGAGAGUGGAAUUCCUAGUGUAGCGGUGAAAUGCGUAGAGAUU
rnacentral:rRNA from 1 species